rnacentral:rRNA from 1 species
UCGAGAAUCUUCCGCAAUGGGCGAAAGCCUGACGGAGCGACGCCGCGUGGAGGACGAAGGCCUUCGGGUUGUAAACUCCUGUCACGAGUUAAGAAGGUCGGCCUACGAACAGUGGGACGAUUUGACGUAAGCUCGAGAGGAAGCACUGGCUAACUCUGUGCCAGCAGCCGCGGUAAUACAGAGAGUGCAAACGUUGUUCGGAAUUACUGGGCUUAAAGCGCACGUAGGCUGCGUCGUAAGUGUCAGGUGAAAUCCCACGGCUCACCCGUGGAACUGCCUGGCAUACUGCGAUGCUUGAGUGUGGUAGGGGAGAGCGGAACUCUUGGUGGAGCGGUGAAAUGCGUAGAUAUCAAGAGGAACACCGGUGGCGAAGGCGGCUCUCUGGUCCACAACUGACGCU